CAGACUUACAUCUCACUGCCAGCUGCACAGCCCAUGAUAGGGCUCAACACACAGACACAGGUGGGUGCAGAGGCACACGUGCAUACAGACUCACGCUCAGUACAUACCCCCAAGCACAAACACACCACCCGCACCUGAUACACAUGCACGAGCACACACAGGUACACACCACACAUGUGCACAGACACACAGACACAUAUGCACACAUCACACAAUACACAUGGGCACAGGAACAGAGACACGCACCGCACACACCACACACACUCAAUACACACAGGCAGGCAUAGAAACAUCACACACUGGCCGGGCGCGGUGGCUCACGCCUGUCAUCCUAGCACUUUGGGAAGCCGAGGCAGACGGAUCAUGAGGUCAGGAGUUCGAGACCAGCCUGGCCAACAUGGUGAAACCCCAACUCUACCAAAAAUACAAAAAAAAAAAAAUUAGCCAAGCAUGGUGGCGCACGCCUGUAGUCCCAGCUACUCGGGAAGAUGAGGCAGGGGAAUUGCUUAAACCCAGUAGGCGGAGGUUGCAGUGAGCCGAGAUCGCGCCACUGCAAUUCAGCCUGAGCGACAGGCUGAGACUCCUUCUCGGGUGGCGGGGCGGG
rnacentral:lncRNA from 10 species